rnacentral:tRNA from 1 species
GCGAGAGUGGCGGAACGGGCAGACGCGCUGGACUUAGGAUCCAGUCCCAACCAUGGGAUGGGGGUUCGAGUCCCCCCUCUCGCACCA